CUUUUCAGUCAAACAAAUACACAAAGUACUCAAAAAAAUGGAUUUAAUUGUCAACAAUCAAUAUUUGUGCAUUGAUUCUUUACUUAAGCCAUUGUACACCAAUUAAUCUGGUUCUGCCUGAGAUUUCUGCCUGUUUCAGGAGUUUUUUCUCGCUGCAGUUACCAGAGAGCUUCCUCUUGUGUUAGUAAGUGGCUCAUCUCUCUAAAUAAUACAACAGAGUUUAUUUCAGAGCUUUUUUUUUUAGAUAAGUUUUGUUUUGAUUUUGUGUUGAUGAAUAAUUGAAAAAGUCAAAAAGCUUGAGUGGUUAAAAAAAAAGGAAAUCUGGAUUAUGUUCUUGGUUAUGCUGCAAUAAAAAGCAAACCAGCACCUUGUCCUACAGCUGAACUUCAGCGCCUCAUUGUGAUGCCACUGGUGAGAUCUGCCUGUCUUUACGCGGCCACAGAGAGUCUCUCCUGGCCGCCUCGGGCUAUCCUGACAGUCGCAGGGUGCUGUCUGGAAGAAUUAAAAUCUCUAUUUAUCAGGGCUCUACUGAAGCUGCCCGGGGACUGGCCGGGGAAAUGGCAAACAGUCGGCCGUCUCACUGCAGAGGGACUCAGAUGAGGAGUUCAACAUGCCGGGAUGUGCCUGUGCAGGUCUCGUCUUGACAGUGUAUGUGAUGUAAAAUAUGGAAAAACUUCCCUGUCCCUGCUUUACACUUUGUUUCACUUGAAGUCUGAGCCAGCUUGUGCGCUUUCCUGAAUGUAAAUCACUCUUUAAUGUUAUUCCAAAAGAGCAAAUUGAAGCCUGAUCCUUGAAUACAAACAGUGUAGGUGAAUGUAUAAGUAUGUGGAUCCACCCUGCAGAGCGCUGCUGCACAUUAAAGCGGGGACUGUGUCGCCUCCUGCAGAUGUUCUCCAUCACAGCAGCGGUAGGCAGCGUUUCUUCUGACAAAGAGGGAGGACAGGACAGGAGGAAGCAAUCAGGAUCCUCUUAACUCAGAUCAGAUCAGAGCUCUACUGAACUCUGCUGGACAAAUCAAGCAAGUGUAAGUCAAUCACAGGUGACACACACAUAACACACACAAAGAUGCUUAUAGCUGUACAUGGUUAACAUGAUUGAAAAGUCAUUGAUUAUAGUUGAUUAGAUGGUAAACUGCUGCUUUCUGCUCGUCUCUUCUUAUCAGGUAAUUUGCUUCAUUUUGGUCGUAUGAUCACAUCACGCCAAUUUUAGGAUCUCUGCAUCGGUUACCUGUGUCUUUUAGAGCAGAUUUUAAGGUUCUUUUAUUGGUGUUUAAAGCUCUUAAUGGUCUUUGUCCUUCUUAUUUAUCUAAUUUGCUUUUACCAUAUGAGCCCACUGAGCAUUUUUGGUCUAAAAGAGGUCUAAUAGACGUCUAAAUGUAGCCUAGACAACUGGUGUAAAAUCAGGCUACCACAGGUCUAAAAAUGAACGUUUUUUAGACGUCUAAAUUUAGACCAAGUUUAGACUAGUCAGCUAACUGUAUAUUGCUCAACGGCUAUCAUAAUUGUUUUGGUUAAGUACUUGGAGAUCAGUUAUGCAACUAACAGUUGCUUUUUCAAACAAAUAGUUCUUGAAUAAUGGGUUAAAGUGCAAUGUUGAAAUUCUGUCUAAAAAUAUACAGAAUCUAGACGUUUGAAAUGAGGUCUAAAAAUAAACUAGACGUCUAAUAGCCGUCUGUUGCUCAGUGGGGAUUCCUCAGGUGGUGGUCUUUUAACUGUUUCCAAAGUAAAAACUAAAACAUAUGGUGAAUAAUUAUUCCAUUAUUACGGUCCCCAUCUGUGGAACAGCCUACAUGCAGACCUGAGAGCAACACCUACUGUUCAUAUUUUUAAUUAAGUAAACUAAGGACCGACCUUUUUAGUCUGGCUUUUAGUUAAAUUUUGUUUUAAUCUUUUAAUCUGCAUUAAGUGAUUUUACUCUAUUUUAAUCAUAGAUUAACUAUUUUGUGUUUUAUCACCUCUUUUUUUAAUUUACUUUCUGUUAUUGUUUGAUUUUAAGACGGUUUUAUUUAAUUAACUUUUAACGCUUUAUCACCUUUAUUAUAUUUGAUCAUGGUUUUAUCGUUAAAUCCAGAGUUACCUCAGUCAUCUGUGACAAGUUGAAGAGUCCUCACCUGGUCUUUUGUGUGUGUAGGUGCUGUGUGUGUUGAAUAGGGGUUAGGAGGGUGGAUGGGGUUUGGUAUUUUUUUUUUUUUUUUUUUAUUUCAUUGUUUUUAAUAUCCUGCUUGAUUGGACAGCACUUUGUGUUACAUUCUAUAUAUGAAAAGUGCUUUAAGAUUAAAGUUCGACUGAAGUUUGACUGAUGAUGUGUUUUAGUUUAGUAGGUCCAUCAUCAGACUGUGAAAAUCUUCUGGUUUUUUGGUUCAGCAUUCGUUUGCAGCUGCUGCCUGAUUUGAGGAUUUGAGGGCGAACUAGAAUCCUGAUUUGAAUCUCAUGAAUGCAGUCAAGGACUUACACUAGGGGGCGCUUUAACCCAAUGGUUGUUCACUCAGAUAGUUCAAGCAACAUGAAUCCACAAUGCAGUAAAAACUCUUAAAUGAAUCUCACCUUAAAAACAUGAGGCCUGGAUGCCUGUACUGAUUCUGGUAGCUUAUUUAACUUAUUGGUAUUAUUAUUUUUAUCUUAUUAUUCUUAGUUUUUCUAUAAUGAUUGUUGUUGUAUGCAAGAAAAGAUUGAAAUGAUUGGCUGAUUGGAAGCAGCUCUUUGAUUGGACAAAUAAAAACAGCCUUCUGGUCUAUUUGGAGCUAUUUUUCAGGGCUCACUUGUGUAAUUUGAUGAAUUUACAUCAUACUGUGUUGAAUCAAAAGCACAAUCGGGACUUAAAUUGUCAUGUUAGAUUUAAAUGAGUGGGUCUUGAAUCCUAAGACCUGUUUCCUAUCACUCUAUCACUUACACAAGGCGGGGCCGCUUUUCACUCUCGGUCACUUUAAAGCACCAAGCUGUAAAAGAUGAAGACAAGC